GCUCCACCCUUCUUCCUGUUGCGGCGCACCUUCCUCGCUUCUUCUUCUUCGGUUCGUUUACAAUAAACCUACAAAAUGGGGACCAAGAGAAGGAAAGCGCAGUCUGGGACGCCUGAGAAUUAGUAGGAGUAAGUGCUGUGAAAAAAUUAUAGAAUAUGCAGGCAUAAGAAGAAGCAAGAUGGCGCAAGAUAGUGGUAAUUGAAUAUUUCUAGGUGGGGCCUUUGUCUUGCAGUGAGCAUAAAUAAGCUGCUGCUGGCUGUUGAUGAUGAUGAUGAUGACGACGCAUUUUCUUUAGUGGAGACGCAACCGCAGCGCAUGCAACCAUUCAAGCAAUGCAGUUCUCACUGCGAUCGGCCCCUAUUGGUAAUAAUUCAAUUGCAAACGGAGCGUAGCGCUACACGAGAUAUAUGACUGUGAGGUCCAAUUUUGUGGAAGCUCGACCGUCUGUUGAUGCCAGUAAUGUGAACUUUCCAGUGUUAACUGUCUGCAGUGUAGGUUCUCUUUUUGCACUCACAUAGUACCGUUGCACUCUUCCUUCGCGCACACAUUGGGUGGUCAUUGCUGACUUCUGACAGGCGACACCCAUUGACAGGCAAUGCCCAUUUCUUUUCCAGGCUCCCUUUCCCAGGAUAAGUCGGGGAAAAACGCUGUGACAAAUUUAAAUGACCCCGUGGGCUUGAGUACCAACGAGCUUGUUCAAACCACACAUCAUAAUUGUUGGCAGGCGGCGCGGGCGACAAUCAAUUUGAACACUUCGCUUCAAUUGAGGACAGUGACCUCGACUGCUCGCAUGAGCGAGAGCCCCCAAUAAGUGAAUAAUUAAGCCUUUAUAGCUGUCAUUCGUUCGCCAAUCGUUCAAGCAAGUACUCAAAGCCCUUAUGUGCAUUUUCUGUGGCGUGCAAUGGCUUACAAAAAAUGCGCCUUUGAUUAAAACGUAAACAUUAGAGUGAAAGAUGGAUUCAUUACAACACUUGUGCGUUUAGGGAUGCUUGACCAGUGACCUAUCGAAUUCCAAAGGUCUGAAGACGCUUUAAUUGCUUCCUCUAACACCUUUACGUUUUAUUAUACUGAUAAACUUCGAAGAAAAGCACCUUCGAAGUCAAUGCUUCGUGCACGUACGCCUACUGCCAAAGAAUAUUAGUUAUUCACAUUUGCUUUGACAGAAUAAAGCAGUGUUGGGCAAGAAUUGGCAGCGCCGGUAAUUCAUAGAACAUCGUAAGGAGAGUUCUGCAGAUGCACAGGAGGAAGGCUUAUGAAUCAGAAAAUUUUGGUCCACCAGGCUGCAGCAUGGCGCUAUGUUUGGGUGGAUGACAUCCUGCUUCUCUUUAACUAGGUAAUAAUUCGUGCUCGCGUCCUGGUUAGCUCAGAUACUAGCGUACCCACCCCGGAAAGUCAUUGGUCUCUCAUUAGAUCCUUCUACUGCCAAUCUUCUUUUCAAAAAACCGAAAUGAGUCUCCUUUGAAGCGUCUUCCUACAAUCCGGUGGCAAACAAUUUUGUCUUUCAUAAGCAACAACAGUGUUUGUGCAACUGUCCAGAACAGUCAUAUGCAACAGUCACUUUGACCGUGCUGAAAACGAGAUCGUCACAAAAGCCUCGUAGUUUUCACAACUGAAAUGAGCAAUGGCAACUUCGUACUUUUGUUGUUGUUGUUUGUUUAUCUCAUAUAGGCUUCAAAUGGAGGAACGAAGAGCUGCUAGUCUAUCAAAGUGAAGAUAACAAGUGUGCAGUCUUCAAGUCAUUCACACUGGGCAGAACUCUUGAUUACUUCUCCAUUGACCUUCGACUGAAGAAUUCUUCGGUAGCUCAAGGCCCAAGUGAAGAGUGUCGGCGAGAAUACAAGAAAAAGCUAAGAAAACGGAAAAGUUACACAUUGUAUUCUUCAGAAUGUCAAAACAACUUAAAAGAAGAUCGAGAAUACGUUUACCAUUACCUCUGAAUAAAGACGGUUAAUUUCACGUUUCA